GCGUGCCCGCCCGCGCCGAGCGGCGGAGGCCGUCCUGGAGCCGGGCGCUCGAGACGGGGCGGCGGGGGCGCCGCGCUGGCGUCGAAAGAGUUUGUUGGGCUUUGGGAAGGACGUGUGUGGUGUCUGGCGAGCGGCAUUCGGGGCUGAAUUAAGCCACGAGUUCUGCCCAGAGGCGGGAGUGGUCACCCCUGGUCUCGGAUUUGAGUUUUCCAGGGUGGGAAGGAGUGAUGGCUGACUUCGUGGGUCUGACUUUCCUCGCGUUUUGACUCUGGCACGGGCCCCGCGGGAGACUUCGCGGGAGCGGGCGUCUCCUGUCUGCCGGCGGCCGUCCGGCAGUCCACGGGCAGCGCGGUGAUUGAAGGCUUGGACUGAGAACUGCACUUACCUGACUUGGGUGUUUGUAAUUUCUAAGGGCUAAGGCGUCUUAUCUUAUUUUUUGGAGUUACUUGGCGAACUGGGAUGUUCCUAGGACUUGGAGGUUAAAUGGACUGUUUCGGGGUUGGUAUUUCUGGCCCGUGUUGCGCUGUGGACCAGCGGUUGGGUGGGGCACUUCUCAUACAGUAUUUUAUUAAUAAGGGCCUGUCGGUGGGGAAAGAGCUUGCUUGACUCUGGUACUGUAGUUUAAUUAGCGUAUGACCUUUUAAAGCACGUGUUUGCUUUAGGGCAAAGAUUGUGUGAGAGCAGGCGUUAAGCAGUGUGGGGAGUUGAAUUUUAUCCCUAUGAAUUAGUCUGACCGCGUAGUUUCUGUUUACUUUUAAAGAUGUAUUUUAUUUACCUGAAAGGCGGAGUUAGAGGGAGACCGAGAGGUCCUCUGAUCCGGGAGGGCCCGGUGUCGCCGGCGUCAGCGCGGUGCAGGGCGACAGUUUUAUUAUCAGGCCAAAUGUGUUCUAUUUUGAUGAUAUUUUUGGUGAUGGCGCUUGUGAGAGGGAGUUAUUUAGUCAAAAAUGACUUCUAACUACUAUUAAGUAUUUCCUAUUGUAGGUAGUUUUUGUAUUUAUUUGGAUAUUUUGAAAUGGCUUUAACCUAGGGGGGGUUUUUUGGUAGUUUUUAAAAAUUUUUUAAAUUUAUUUUUUGGUAUGUUAUAUACCUUUUCCUUAUUUAGUGAUGUUAUAGUUUUUUUUUUGUUUUUGUUUUUUGUUUUUUUUUUUUUUUUUUUUUUUUUUUUUGACAGGCAGAGUGGACAGUGAGAGAGAGAGAGACAGAGAAAGGUCUUCCUUUUGCCGUUGGUUCACUCUCCAAUGGCCGCCGCGGCUGGCGCGCUGCGGCCGGCACACCGCGCUGAUCCGAUGGCAGGAGCCAGGAGCCAGGUGCUUUUCCUGGUCUCACAUGGGGUGCAGGGCCCAAGCACCUGGGCCAUCCUCCACUGCACUCCCUGGCCACAGCAGAGAGCUGGCCUGGAAGAGGGGCAACCGGGACAGAAUCCGGCACCCCAACCGGGACUAGAACCCGGUGUGCCGGCGCCGCAAGGCGGAGGAUUAGCCUAGUGAGCCGCAGCGCCGGCCUGAUGUUAUAGUUUUAUGCAUUUAUAGUUUUUAAGUAUUACAUGUAACUUGGAGACUUCAGUGGCUUUUUUAUGUAAUCUACAUAUUUUUAAUAUGGGUUUUUUUAUUAGGAUUUGUUUUUAGUUUGGGUGGUUUUAUUUGUAGUUUUUAAAGUAGGUGGGUUUUAAUGUUAUUUUAGGGAUGGCUGGCGUUAUGUUAGUUUAAUUCGUUUUGUAGGGGGGCUUGUUUCGUGGGCCUAUUUGUAAUUUUGUUUUAUAACUUAUAGAAUGUUUUUGUGACGUGAGGUAUAUUUAUUUUUGCUGUAGAAAGAGGCUUUCCAGAACUUGUUUUAUUGUUUAUGCACUGGUUUUUAUUGGAUACAAAGCUUUUUUGUGUUGUGAUGUUUGUCUUUUAAGUAAAUUCUGAGUUUUUUGUGUCUGUUGUGGGGAGACACAGGGUGUUUGGGGAGGAGUAGAUCAUUUAAAGUUGGGUGGGAUUUUUUUUUAUUAUUAUUGGGUGUUUUCUUUUACACAAGCACAGAAUCCAGAUGAGGCCCCAAGUUUUUGAGAAACCAGCCCACCUGCCCACUGAGGACGCGGACCCACAGCCCUGGGCGCGGGAGGUGCAGAGAGCGGACUUCAGCCGUGCGCAGGAGCCGCUGCCUGCUCUCUGCUAUGGCCUGGGAAAGCAGUAGAGGAUGGCCCAAGUGCUUGGGCCCCUGCACCCAUGCGGGAGACCCCGAAGAAGCUCCAGGCUCCUGGCUCCAGUUUGGCCCCACUGCAGCCAUUGCAGACAUUAGGGAGUGAACCAGCGAGUGGAUGGAAGACAUCUCUGUGCCUCUCUAACUCUACCUUUCAAAUAAAUAAAUAAAUCUUAAAUAAAAUUACAACCAGCCUUGUUUUGCA